rnacentral:rRNA from 1 species
UACGUAGGGUGCAAGCGUUAUCCGGAUUUAUCGGGCGUAAAGGGCUCGUAGGCGGUUCGUCGCGUCCGGUGUGAAAGUCCAUCGCUUAACGGUGGAUCCGCGCCGGGUACGGGCGGGCUUGAGUGCGGUAGGGGAGACUGGAAUUCCCGGUGUAACGGUGGAAUGUGUAGAUAUCGGGAAGAACACCAAUGGCGAAGGCAGGUCUCUGGGCCGUUACUGACGCUGAGGAGCGAAAGCGUGGGGAGCGAACAGG